rnacentral:lncRNA from 1 species
GUUUAUUUUGCUUAACUGAGCCAUCCAUUUUCUAGGCUUCCAAUGGCAUCUUGCAAAUCUUUGAACACAAGAUAAAUUCAACUGAAACUUGGAUUUUUCUAAAAGUCAUGAUUCAUGCCUGAGCCUUCUUACUGGAUUUCUUAGAUUUUCCAGAAAAAGUACAGGUUGUCAUCUACUACAGGCAGGACAAGCAUCACACAUACUAAAUUUUCAACACCACUUACAUACCCUAUUUACAAAUGGACUUGGAUAAAAGAGUUUACAGGAUUCUACUCAAUUGUCACUCUUUUUCUUCUGAAAUGAAGAUUGAAUUUUAUUAAAGAGAAGGUCAGCACUGUGAAUACUACUAAGUUCAACUCCUUAAGAACUGGUAAGCUUCUGCUACUGUAUAUUAUUGCAUACAGUACAAAAUAAUGUAUAUUUUUAGGAUAUGUGAUUGAAUAUCAAGUCCUAUUCUAGCACAGCUUUGGGAAAGAAGUUACACAGACCUGCUUUGCACCACACAGAGAAUGAUAGGAGUUAUGUCU